AGAGUUUGAUCAUGGCUCAGAUUGAACGCUGGCGGCAGGCCUAACACAUGCAAGUCGAACGGUAACAGGAAACAGCUUGCUGUUUCGCUGACGAGUGGCGGACGGGUGAGUAAUGUCUGGGAAACUGCCUGAUGGAGGGGGAUAACUACUGGAAACGGUAGCUAAUACCGCAUAACGUCGCAAGACCAAAGAGGGGGACCUUCGGGCCUCUUGCCAUCGGAUGUGCCCAGAUGGGAUUAGCUUGUUGGUGGGGUAACGGCUCACCAAGGCGACGAUCCCUAGCUGGUCUGAGAGGAUGACCAGCCACACUGGAACUGAGACACAGUCCAGACUCCUACGGGAGGCAGCAGUGGGGAAUAUUGCACAAUGGGCGCAAGCCUGAUGCAGCCAUGCCGCGUGUAUGAAGAAGGCCUUCGGGUUGUAAAGUACUUUCAGCGGGGAGGAAGGGAGUAAAGUUAAUACCUUUGCUCAUUGACGUUACCCGCAGAAGAAGCACCGGCUAACUCCGUGCCAGCAGCCGCGGUAAUACGGAGGGUGCAAGCGUUAAUCGGAAUUACUGGGCGUAAAGCGCACGCAGGCGGUUUGUUAAGUCAGAUGUGAAAUCCCCGGGCUCAACCUGGGAACUGCAUCUGAUACUGGCAAGCUUGAGUCUCGUAGAGGGGGGUAGAAUUCCAGGUGUAGCGGUGAAAUGCGUAGAGAUCUGGAGGAAUACCGGUGGCGAAGGCGGCCCCCUGGACGAAGACUGACGCUCAGGUGCGAAAGCGUGGGGAGCAAACAGGAUUAGAUACCCUGGUAGUCCACGCCGUAAACGAUGUCGACUUGGAGGUUGUGCCCUUGAGGCGUGGCUUCCGGAGCUAACGCGUUAAGUCGACCGCCUGGGGAGUACGGCCGCAAGGUUAAAACUCAAAUGAAUUGACGGGGGCCCGCACAAGCGGUGGAGCAUGUGGUUUAAUUCGAUGCAACGCGAAGAACCUUACCUGGUCUUGACAUCCACGGAAGUUUUCAGAGAUGAGAAUGUGCCUUCGGGAACCGUGAGACAGGUGCUGCAUGGCUGUCGUCAGCUCGUGUUGUGAAAUGUUGGGUUAAGUCCCGCAACGAGCGCAACCCUUAUCCUUUGUUGCCAGCGGUCCGGCCGGGAACUCAAAGGAGACUGCCAGUGAUAAACUGGAGGAAGGUGGGGAUGACGUCAAGUCAUCAUGGCCCUUACGACCAGGGCUACACACGUGCUACAAUGGCGCAUACAAAGAGAAGCGACCUCGCGAGAGCAAGCGGACCUCAUAAAGUGCGUCGUAGUCCGGAUUGGAGUCUGCAACUCGACUCCAUGAAGUCGGAAUCGCUAGUAAUCGUGGAUCAGAAUGCCACGGUGAAUACGUUCCCGGGCCUUGUACACACCGCCCGUCACACCAUGGGAGUGGGUUGCAAAAGAAGUAGGUAGCUUAACCUUCGGGAGGGCGCUUACCACUUUGUGAUUCAUGACUGGGGUGAAGUCGUAACAAGGUAACCGUAGGGGAACCUGCGGUUGGAUCACCU
rnacentral:rRNA from 1 species